UAUGGGGAGCAUAUUUUGAUGCUUGUUUAUAACAUCUUCAUUGAAGAUUUCAGGGGUACAGUAUGUAGAUAGACCAAUACAUACAAUAAAAUGUGUGGAUAGUGUAUUGGUAAGAUAGCUCUUUAAUGAUGAAAGUUCUUUAAUGAAUGUUCACUGCAGAAGGAGAGCUCUACGUUGGGAGCAGAAGAGCCAUUAAAUCCAAAGAGGAGGCAAGACAACUCUUUAUAGAGUUGUCUUGGAGAGGAGUUCCACUCCUGUCCAAUGGGGGGACAUACGGGCAUCCUGAAAACCUGCACAGCAAUAUCCUCCAGAUUUGACUGGCUUGGCAUAUCAGUGGACAUUAACAACUGGGUCUUGGAAUGUGAUAAAUGCCAGAUGGUUGGAAAUCCAUUGACUGCUGUCCAGCCAUUACAGUGUAUACAGGUGUCUGCUGUCUGGGAGCUAAUUGGUAUUGACCUGACAGGACCUCUCCCAAAAACUGUGGAUGGCUUCCAGUACAUUUUAACAGCCACAGAUUAUUUCUCAAAAUGGGAUGAGGCUUUCCCAUUAAAGAAAAAAACUGCAGCUGA